rnacentral:rRNA from 1 species
AUUGAACGCUGGCGGCAUGCCUUACACAUGCAAGUCGAACGGCAGCACGGAGCUUGCUCUGGUGGCGAGUGGCGAACGGGUGAGUAAUAUAUCGGAACGUACCCAAGAGUGGGGGAUAACGUAGCGAAAGUUACGCUAAUACCGCAUACGAUCUAAGAAUGAAAGCAGGGGACCUUCGGGCCUUGUGCUCCUGGAGCGGCCGAUAUCUGAUUAGCUAGUUGGUGAGGUAAAGGCUCACCAAGGCAUCGAUCAGUAGCUGGUCUGAGAGGACGACCAGCCACACUGGAACUGAGACACGGUCCAGACUCCUACGGGAGGCAGCAGUGGGGAAUUUUGGACAAUGGGGGCAACCCUGAUCCAGCAAUGCCGCGUGAGUGAAGAAGGCCUUCGGGUUGUAAAGCUCUUUUGUCAGGGAAGAAACGGUGAAGGCUAAUAUCCUUUGCUAAUGACGGUACCUGAAGAAUAAGCACCGGCUAACUACGUGCCAGCCGCCGCCGUAA